CUUCCUUUGAAUUUCCUGGUUGCCGGCAGAUGUCUCUUUGUCUUGGCCACAACCCGUUGGUGCCACCACAGCUGCCAGCGCCGAUAUCUGGGGAGACUUUGCCAAAGCGUCAGGGUCUGCAUCUACCCAGAAUCAGCAGAGCCCGGGCUGGGUUCAGUUCUAAAUCAGACGUCCCGUCUGCUUUACUGUGUGGAUGCUGGGGAAGAAACCUCUUCUCUUCACUGUGGACCAAAGCCUGGGGGAAGCCCCCCUGCACCUUACACUCUGAGCUAACAGGCCACUUCAGGAGAUCCCAGUCCAUGACUGGUUGCAGCCUUUGUAGCUUUCUUGGGCAUUACAAGAAAGGGGCGAGAGCUAUGCAAAAACCAAAAAGUGCCCUGUGACUGCAGUGUGGAAGUAAGUGCCCCAGCGCUGGGGAAUGUGGGAGAGUGAUGCCUUGAACUCUGAACUCUCAACAGAAACCAGCAGCCCCAGUGGCUAGGGCUCUUAAUUCUGCUCUGAGAUCACAGCAAACCAUAGAGGACUAUAACCCUGGAGGGGGGGAACGAUUGUCCCCCCCAUUUUCCAAACCAGCACACUGUGGUGUUUACAUAUUUUCAACAAGGAUGCUUUUGCGUA